rnacentral:rRNA from 1 species
UCGAUUCCCUUAGUAGCGGCGAGCGAAACGGGAAGAGCCCAAACCAACAAGCUUGCUUGUUGGGGUUGUAGGACACUCUAUACGGAGUUACAAAGGACGACAUUAGACGAAUCAUCUGGAAAGAUGAAUCAAAGAAGGUAAUAAUCCUGUAGUCGAAAAUGUUGUCUCUCUUGAGUGGAUCCUGAGUACGACGGAGCACGUGAAAUUCCGUCGGAAUCUGGGAGGACCAUCUCCUAAGGCUAAAUACUCUCUAGUGACCGAUAGUGAACCAGUACCGUGAGGGAAAGGUGAAAAGCACCCCGGAAGGGGAGUGAAAUAGAACCUGAAACCGUGUGCUUACAAGUAGUCAGAGCCCGUUAAUGGGUGAUGGCGUGCCUUUUGUAGAAUGAACCGGCGAGUUACGAUUUGAUGCAAGGUUAAGCAGUAAAUGUGGAGCCGUAGCGAAAGCGAGUCUGAAUAGGGCGUUUAGUAUUUGGUCGUAGACCCGAAACCAGGUGAUCUACCCUUGGUCAGGUUGAAGUUCAGGUAACACUGAAUGGAGGACCGAACCGACUUACGUUGAAAAGUGAGCGGAUGAACUGAGGGUAGCGGAGAAAUUCCAAUCGAACCUGGAGAUAGCUGGUUCUCUCCGAAAUAGCUUUAGGGCUAGCCUCAAGUGAUGAUUAUUGGAGGUAGAGCACUGUUUGGACGAGGGGCCCCUCUCGGGUUACCGAAUUCAGACAAACUCCGAAUGCCAAUUAAUUUAACUUGGGAGUCAGAACAUGGGUGAUAAGGUCCGUGUUCGAAAGGGAAACAGCCCAGACCACCAGCUAAGGUCCCAAAAUAUAUGUUAAGUGGAAAAGGAUGUGGCGUUGCCCAGACAACUAGGAUGUUGGCUUAGAAGCAGCCAUCAUUUAAAGAGUGCGUAAUAGCUCACUAGUCGAGUGACACUGCGCCGAAAAUGUACCGGGGCUAAACAUAUUACCGAAGCUGUGGAUUGUCCUUUGGACAAUGGUAGGAGAGCGUUCUAAGGGCGUUGAAGCAUGAUCGUAAGGACAUGUGGAGCGCUUAGAAGUGAGAAUGCCGGUGUGAGUAGCGAAAGACGGGUGAGAAUCCCGUCCACCGAUUGACUAAGGUUUCCAGAGGAAGGCUCGUCCGCUCUGGGUUAGUCGGGUCCUAAGCUGAGGCCGACAGGCGUAGGCGAUGGAUAACAGGUUGAUAUUCCUGUACCACCUAUAAUCGUUUUAAUCGAUGGGGGGACGCAGUAGGAUAGGCGAAGCGUGCGAUUGGAUUGCA